rnacentral:rRNA from 1 species
GAUGAACGCUGGCGGCGUGCCUAAUACAUGCAAGUCGAGCGAACAGACGAGGAGCUUGCUCCUCUGACGUUAGCGGCGGACGGGUGAGUAACACGUGGAUAACCUACCUAUAAGACUGGGAUAACUUCGGGAAACCGGAGCUAAUACCGGAUAAUAUAUUGAACCGCAUGGUUCAAUAGUGAAAGACGGUUUUGCUGUCACUUAUAGAUGGAUCCGCGCCGCAUUAGCUAGUUGGUAAGGUAACGGCUUACCAGGGCGACGAUGCGUAGCCGACCUGAGAGGGUGAUCGGCCACACUGGAACUGAGCCACGGUCCAGACUCCUACGGGAGGCAGCAGUAGGGAAUCUUCCGCAAUGGGCGAAAGCCUGACGGAGCAACGCCGCGUGAGUGAUGAAGGUCUUCGGAUCGUAAAACUCUGUUAUUAGGGAAGAACAAAUGUGUAAGUAACUAUGCACGUCUUGACGGUACCUAAUCAGAAAGCCACGGCUAACUACGUG